GAGUUUGAUCGUGGCUCAGAACGAACGCUUGCGGCGCGCCUAAUACAUGCAAGUCGAACGAGGUAGCAAUACCAAGUGGCGCACGGGUGAGUAACGCGUGGAUAAUCUGCCUAUCAGUGGGGAAUAACUAUCCGAAAGGAUAGCUAAUACCGCAUGAGGCCACAGUUUCUGCGGAAACAGGGGUUAAAGAUUUAUCGCUGAUAGAUGAGUCUGCGUGGGAUUAGCUAGUUGGUGAGGUAAUGGCUCACCAAGGCUACGAUCUCUAACUGGUCUGAGAGGAUGACCAGUCACACUGGAACUGAGACACGGUCCAGACUCCUACGGGAGGCAGCAGUAGGGAAUAUUGCGCAAUGGGGGAAACCCUGACGCAGCGACGCCGCGUGAGUGAUGAAGGCCUUAGGGUCGUAAAGCUCUGUUGAAUGGGAAGAACAAAUGACGGUACCA
rnacentral:rRNA from 1 species